AUUUACAUGACCAUGAAAGUUUUAUAAACUCUUGAUAACAAACAAUACAUGAAGAUAUUGACAAUUUACAAAGGCAUUUUCCAUAAAGAAUAAUUUAAACAUCAGAUCACAAUAGGUCUUAUUUACAGAAUGUUUUAGGUCGUCAGGAUUAUUACUUGUCCCCAUAAUUGACGGUAAACCAUUUACAAACAGAGCAAUAAAACAGUUGAAACAAGGACAAUGACCCAACUGGACAAUGACCCAAAACAAACCUCCAGGCUGUGUACGGGCUAUUUAACCAAGAAGGAGAAUGAUGGAGUGCUGCAUCAGAAGACCUAGUCUCUACAAUCAUCCAAACUCAACCCAAUUGAGAUGGUUUGGGAUGAGUUGGACCGGAGAGUAAAAGAAAAGCUGCAAACAAGUGCUCAGCAUAUGUCGGAAUUCUUUCAAGACUGUUGGAAAAGCAUUCCAGGUGACGACCUCAUGAAGCUGGUUGAGAGAAUGCCAAGAAUGUGCAAAGCUGUCAUCAAGGCGAAGGUUGGCAACUUUGAAGAAUCUCAAAUAUAUAAUAUAUUUUGAUUUGUUUAACAGUUUUUUGAAUACUACAUGAUUCCAUAUAUGCUAUUUCAUAGUUUUGAUGGCUUCCUUAUUAUUCUACAAUGUGGAUAGUAAAUAGUAAAAAUAAGGAAGACCCUGGAAUGAGUAGGUGUGUCCAUACUUUGACUGGUACUGUAAAUGUAUAGAUAUACCAGUCCAAUAUAUAAAUACCUUUGCCUGCUUCACAUACUAUAUACAGUGCCUUCAGAAAGUAUUCAUAGACCUUGACUUUUUGAAUUUAAAAUCACAUUUAGAUUUCGUGUCACUGAUCUACACACAAUACCCCAUAAUGUCAAAGCAAAAUGAUGUUUUUAGAUAUUUUUUACAAAUGAAUAAAAACUGAAAAGCUGAAAUGUCUUGAGUAAAUAACUUCAGGAGUAUAAAUAUGCAUACCAAGUCAGAGAAUAAGUUGCACGGAAACAAUUAUCUGUAAGGUUCCUCAGUUGAGCAGUGAAUUUCAAGCAUAUAUUCAACCACAAAGACCAGGGAGGUUUUCCAAUGCCUCGCAAAGAAGGGCACCCGUUGGUAGAUGGGUCAAUAUGAAAAAAGCAGACAUUGAAUAUCGCCUUGAGCAUGGUGAAGUUAUUACAGUUUUUCUCAGUCGCUUUGGUGCAUUUCUUAGAUCAAAAGUGCAAUUCUUGAUACUAUUUGUACAAAUUCAAAAUCAUCUAGUCACUUGUGCACAUCAUUAAAGCAAUUCCUUAUUCCUUUGAACAAAUUGCAAUUGAUAAUGUACCAGUGUCAGCUUUUUUCCACAUGAUCAAUUGCUCAUGUCAUGUUGAUCAAAAUAUAAUAGAUGGUUCUCUGUUGAAUAGUCUUACCCCUCAAAACAUCUCGGCAUUAGUUCCUUGCAUAAGCCAUUACAUGCAAAACUGUUGAACUAUUUGUCAUAAACUGUCAAGCAUAGUUUUACACAUUUCUAUUAGACCUUUUGUACAAAAACGUGAAUUGAUGAAUCGUGCAGGUGAAAUUGACCCUCACUCAUGAAGGAAUGUAAAGUGUUCGUUCAACCAACAAUCAACCAGUUGUCUAAAUUGCUCAAAGUUGCAUCUCAUGAAGAAUCAAUUGGCAAGCAUAUAUAGACAGACCACAACACAGAGUUGCAAUUUCCAAUAAUGGAUGGACCAGGAAACGAACAGGGUCAACAGCCAAGAGGAGGAAGAAGAGGAGCAAGGAUGCGUGGUGGAAGGCAAAACAGAGGAAGAGGCAGAAGAGGACAUAGGCGCAUAUCUGAUGACAUAAGGGCCACUAUUGUAGACCAUGUUGUCAAUCAUGGCCUUACAAUGGCUGAGGCGGGUCGAAGGGUGCAGCCGAAUAUUGGGAGAUCAACCUUGUCCUCAAUAGUUCAAAUGUUUCGAAGAGAGAACAGGUAUGUCCACCAAUGUACAGUGCACUGUUACUGUAUAUAAGCAGUAUACUGUAUACUUCCUACAAUGCUUCAUAUUACAGUAGUCCACUUGUAUUUCACAGCAUACAGAAAUAUACUCUAUACAGAUACAUACUGCACCUUACAUGCACCCACCUGUAUGUUUUACAGUAAACUGUGUGUUCGCAUAGUUUUUGUCUAUGUGAAAGUGUGCGAUGCAUCACUGCAAGAUUACCUCAAACCGGUGGCAGAGGACACCUUUUCACACCUCAACAGGAGGAGGCUAUUUGCACCAUGAACUAAGGAGCUACGGUACCAGUAUGUACAGGAGAGGAAGCAGAUGAUGUCGGCCCCUCUGGACCGCAUCUCUUCCAACUGAGCGCAUGCAGUGGCCCAGAUCCAGGUCCUGGAAUCUAGCUAAUGAGACACACCCCAGAGGGUCUGCCUAGCUCCCAUUGGCUAAAAGGCCCGAGAGGGGGCGGAGGGGGUGGGUUGGGGAGACCGGGUGUGGGCAAGCAUCUGUCAGAAUAGGUUCCAAAUCAAAUACCAUAGUGUACAUUCAUAUCCAAUACAGCAAUGCAUCUAAAUCAGAGGGAAAUUAUAAUCUAGUCAUCUCAAAAUAUAGCAGGCAUUUUACUGUGAAUAGCUACAUUUGUCUGGAUUUGUCUUUGUGGAUAUACUGGUGGGAGUGAGUGUUCAAAUCCUGCUGUGCUAUUGUUUGUGAGCCUCAUUCAUGUCAAAAUGUAACUAUUGGAUUGGUUUGAGCUGAUUGCAAAGCUCCAUUUGUUUUUAGUCAACAUAUGAGUAGGGCAUUUUGGAAUAGAUAUAUGAAAGGGAUUGGAGGAGAUUUUUCUGUUGGGCUUUGCGCUCUGAAAUGCAGUGACCGCUGUUGUCCAAAAGAUGGUGUCAUAGUGAAGUGAAAUCUCCACCGCCUCUCACUUCGCUCUUGAAAAUAUUUUUUCUGCUUGUUCUUGAAUCGAAAAUAAAUUUAUUCUGCUCUAGG